rnacentral:rRNA from 1 species
UGAAUACGAGACGCUAAGGCGUCGAAGUAGUGUAUGUCAUACUUCCAAGAAAAGCUUGCACUGUCAUAGAUAAAAAACGCCUGUACCAUAACCGACACAGGUGGGUAGGUAGAGUAUACUAAGGGGCGCGAGAUAACUCUCUCUAAGGAACUCGGCAAAAUAACUCCGUAACUUCGGGAGAAGGAGUGCCUUAUUCGUAAGGUUACAAUAACAAGAUCCAAGCAACUGUUUAUCAAAAACACAGGUCUCCGCUAAGUCGUAAGACGAUGUAUGGGGGCUGACGCCUGCCCAGUGCCAGAAGGUUAAAGAAGUUGGUUAGCAAUUGCGAAGCUGAUAACUGAAGCCCUGGUGAACGGCGGCCGUAACAAUAACGGUCCUAAGGUAGCGAAAUUCCUUGUCGGGUAAGUUCCGACCCGCACGAAAGGCGUAAUGAUUUGGAUACUGUCUCGGAGAGGGGCUCGGUGAAAUAGACUUGUCUGUGAAGAUGCGGACUACCUGCACCAGGACAGAAAGACCCUAUGAAGCUUUACUGUAACUUGAAAUUGAAAUUGGACUUUAUUCGCGCAGUAUAGGUGGGAGGCGUUGAUUAUAAUCUUGUGGGAUUAUUGGAGCCAUCAGUGAGAUACCACUCUUGUAAUGUUAGAUUUCUAACUUUGAAUCAUUAUCUGGUCAAAGAACAGUUUCAGGCGGGCAGUUUGACUGGGGCGGUCGCCUCCUAAACGGUAACGGAGGCGUACAAAGGUUUCCUCUGAACGGUUAGAAAUCGUAUCUAGAGUGUAAAGGCAUAAGGAAGCUUGACUGUGAGACCUACAAGUCGAGCAGGGACGAAAGUCGGUCUUAGUGAUCUGACGGUACUGAGUGGAAAGGCCGUCACUCAACGGAUAAAAGUUACUCUAAGGAUAACAGGCUGAUCUCCCCCAAGAGUUCACAUCGACGGGGAGGUUUGGCACCUCGAUGUCGGCUCAUCGCAUCCUGGGGCGGUAGUACGUCCCAAGGGUUGGGCUGUUCGCCCAUGAAAGCGGUACGCGAGCUGGGUUCAGAACGUCGUGAGACAGUUCGGUCCAUAUCCGGUGUAGGCGUUAGAAUAUUGAGAGGAGCCUUCUUUAGUACGAGAGGACCGAGAAGGACAUACCUCUGGUGUACCAGUUAUCGUGCCAACGGUAAACGCUGGGUAGCUGUGUAUGGAGUGGAUAACCGCUGAAAGCAUCUAAGUGGGAAGCCCACCUCAAGAUAAGUAUUCUCAUC